CGUUGUGACAAGAGGGGACGCUCAGGGGUAAUCGUGUCUAUUGCCCUAGAGACCUCCAUGUUAUAGAGAUCUACCAGGGCAUCAACAGGAUCGUCAGCCAGCAUGGCAGGAAAAUCCCCAAGAGAUGCCAGGAAUCCAGCCGGAUCCAUAAGUCUCCUGGGGUGGACCAACUUAAUGGGCCCACCACCCCUGCGGAGGUUAGAGGUUACAGUAAGUCUAAAGCUGAUCAGGUGAUGAUCGGUCCAUGACAAUAGAAGAAUUUUUUGCUCUUCCACACCGACAUUUCCCCUGUCCGCAACAAAGACUAGGUCCAAAGUGUGGCCAGCUACAUGGGUGGACCCUGAUAUCACUUGGGACAGUCCCAUGGUCGUCAUGGCAGCCAUGAAGUCCAGAGCUGCGCCAGACAGGGCGGGCUCCGCGUGGACGUUGAAGUCUCCCAGCACGAUAAACCGCUGAGACUCCAAUACCACGUUGGAGAUCACCCUCGCAAGUUCUGGCAGGGAGACUACUGUGGUUGGUACACAAGUAGAAGCCCCAAACUGUCCCCGUUACUCACUUUCUGAUGGACACAUUCGAAUCCUGAAAAUUGCAGAACAGGGCACCUGGUCAGGACGAUGGAAUCACGAUAGACCACCGCAACCCCGUCCCCCAGGUCUGGCCUGCUGAUGCACUCCGAAGCCUGGUGGACAGAGCUGGGUAAGGUUUACCGCCCCCCCCCCCCAGCUGUGAUGAGUCAUGGGCCAUGUAGUCCCGUUCAUGGCACUGUAGUCCCAGAUGAAGAGGAGAACUUGGGUUUUUCACCGUCUCAGUCAGAAUUGGAACCUUCCCAGCCAGAUUUGGGAACCUUGCACCUGCAAGAGAUUUGUCUUCCAGAAAUCUGUCAAACAAGCCCUGAGUCUAAAUCUCCUGUGUUUUCUCGCCACGAGUUUUGUAAACAUCAGAGAGCAGUUCAAGCGGCCUCUCGUAGGAGUGCUAGGAUAGCUGCUAAGAAUUCAGCUGAUUAAGCCUGCUUUCCAUGGGAAACCUUAAGGAGUCAUGCAUCUGGACUCAGAGAUUAGCUUUCGUUUCUAGUUCCCCAGAGAACUGCUCUUUGGUGGGAAAACUAGACCCUAUUUAGGUGUUUUACCCACAAAGGCAUCUUGCGGAGUCAAUUCGUCAGCUACUGGAGUAAGUUGUGUGUGGACAGCGCGCUCCGUUUCCAAGCCUCGUUCCUGUUUCAAGCCUUGUUCCUGAUUCCAAGCCUUCGCUCCGUUUCCAAGCCUUCGUUCCCGUUUCCAGCCUUGUUUACCUCCACGGACCUUGCCUUGUUUUCCAGGACUCAGCCUUGCCUUGUCUUCCGGAUUUUGCCAAGUAAUUCCACGGAUCUUGUUCUCGCUCCCCGUGCCUUGUUGCCUUGUAUCAAGCCUUGUUUCAAGUUAUUUCCUAGCCUUGCUCAAGUUCAUGGACUAAAGGACCUGGUCAUCUCCCCUCACUUUGCCUGGCAAAGUGAGUGUUUCGGUUAUUGGAUUACAACUUUGGACCUUAAUAUUUCAUAUUGGACAUUGUUUCUUGGGACUAAUUUUGACCUUUCCUGAAAGGUCUACUUCUGAACUAUUUCAUACACUUGCUUUUACUAACUUUAUAUAUUUCCUUAAUAAAGAUAUUAGAUAGAUUCUGGCCUCUGUGUAUGGUUAUUGGUGCUCUGCAGCCUGGGUCGUGACACCAGCUCAUCCAACCAGGUAUCAGUGAUGCAUGCUAGGUCUCCUACUUCAUCCAGGAUUAAGUCCUGAAUGGCAGCUGUUUUACCGUUCACAGACCUAGCAUUUAACAGCAGAACCUUAAACCUUAAACCCAGGGGGACUGUCAUGCUGGUUCUCUAACCUAUCUUGCUUCAGGGUUGCAAGAACUCUGUUGUGCUUCUCCCUGAGUUGGUAUGUUUGAUCGCAUCUCCGCCUCCCCAGUAUAGUCUCAAUGGUGGACCCCCGGCUCUGGAAAACAUUAUAUCCCUGGAUGGUCUCAUUUAAACUUGGAGAGGAUUUGUCAAUAUAUAGCCGGUCCUGGAGGAGGGGGGGGGGAGAGUCCUCUUUGGGCGGAGCUUUGUGGAAUAAAUUCAUCUCCAGAAGAGGUGUAGGCCAAGAGAGGAGGGCAGACUGGAGUUGCUAUUUGGGGCUCUUUCUGGGUUUUCGGCAAUGUGGGGAGUGUCUCAAUUUACAAGUUAGCUCGCUUUCGUGAGCCUGAGAUGCUGGGAUUGAGGUCCUGAAAUGAUUUUUUUUUAACAGCUAUUUCUUUGGGCUGUUCCUCUCAGUCCAGGUAGUAGUGGGUGGAUGACAAUAUCUUGAAAAACUCUUCUUACCAAAAUACCCCACUUACUAGGCUUGAUCGAUCCACGAAAAAUUUGAUUCUAAACUUGUUUCAAAACUAGAGGGGGGCAGUUUUUCGUUUCUGAUGGUAUUUCCGAAUUUGGCCCCCCAAAAAAUUCGAAAUUAACGAAAAUUCGUUAUUUUCUAAAUUAAUUCGUUAAUGGCGGACGCGCAUGCGCAAUUCCCAAAAACAGCACAGAGGGAGAGGACUUUACAGGACUCUCCCACCUUCAUUUUUUGAGUGAUCUUCUUCCAACUUGGUACAGUGGUAGAACACAUUUAACACUGAUAGCUCACCAAAAUUUGGAACGUUUCCCUUAUCCUCUGAUUUUUGGCGAAUUUUCAUAGCUUUUAUAAUAAACCAUUUUUUUAAUAAUUGCAGAAAUCUGUUCCUGGUUUGAAAGUCUUAUUUCCUGUUAAAUUGGGUUGUCUUUACUGUGAAAGUCAUUGUUCUACUUCAGAAACUUUGUUUUUGUGGCUGAAACUUUGUUAAAUUGGUGUGUGUGUUAUAUAUACUGUGUAUAUAGUCCCUGCAUAAUGUGUGUGUGUGUGUGUAUAGGUAAAGGUAAAGGUAUCCCUUGACGUUAAGUUCAGUCAUGUCUGACUCUGGGGGUUGGUGCUCAUCUCCAUUUCUAAGCCCAAGAGCCAGUGUUGUCCAUAGACACCUCCAAGGUCAUGUGGCCGGCAUGACUACAUGGAGUGCCAUUACCUUCCCGCCAGAGCGGUACCUAUUGAUCUACUCACAUUGGCAUGUUUUCAAGCUGCUAGGUUGGCAGAAGCUGGAGCUAACAGCGGGCACUCACUCUGCUCCCGGGAUUUGAACCUGGGACCUUUCGGUCUGCAAGUUCAGCAGCUCAGUGCUUUAACACACUUCGCCAUCGAGGCUCAUGUAUAUAUAAUAUACAUACACAUACACACAAUGUGGAGAAUAUGUGGAAAGGUAGAUAGAUAAGUUGGGAGCCACAGCGAAAGCACCUUCCUGGGAGCAAGGUCUAAUAAUAAUAAUAAUAAUAAUAAUAAUAAUAAUAAUAAUAAUAAUAAUAAAAAAUCCCUUACAAUAUCCAAGAUGGCUCACUGCUACAGAAUCUUGGGAGGUUUAGUUUGAUAUGGUACCAUUAUUGGCAGAGAAAGCUAAGCUGUAGGAGUUGAAAUCCAAUCAUUUAUCCUCCCUAUAGAAUCAAUUUUAUAUGCAUUUUUAGCUACAGAAAAGCUAAAAUCAGGACAGUAAAAGAACAACACCCAGAAAAUGGGAAUUCCAGACAGGAAACAAUCAGGGCCAGCUAAUACCUCCCAACAAAGGAUUCCCCCAGGUAGGAAGCAGCCAGGCUUUGAAGCUGCAAGGCUAUUCAAUGCUAAUCAAGGUGACCAAUUGCAACAUUCACACUUGCCUCCCACAGACAAGAGUUCUUUCUCCCACCCUGGACCUUCCACAGAUAUAUAAACCCCACUUGCCUAGCUUCGCACAGAUGUCAAAACCUCACCGCCAGGCCCCUCUCUGUCUCUCUCGGUCUCUCCAUUCCCGGCUCCAUCCGCUGCCUUCCCGCCUCACAGAGAGACACCAGGCCUGAGCUGAGGCGAGGCGGUGGCGGCGGCGGCCAUUUCCCCCCUCCGUCUUCCUCCUCCUCCUCGGCCUCCUUCCCCCUCGCCACCUCCCAUUGGCUGAGCCCGUGACGCCCCUUUUGCUGAGGGGCAAAAGGAAAGGGCCUGAAUGGUGGGAGUUUGGGUGAUUUGCAAAAGCUUUUUUUUCCUAACGAAAAAAACGAUGACAUAACGAAAAACGGCCUCUCGCGAUUCGAAACCGCGAUAUCCAGACGUGUGGACAACCAAUGCUUCAAAAUUGCUUCAAAACAAACGAAAAUAACGAAUUAAUAACGGUUAACGGGGAAAACGAAUUAUUUGAGCAAGCCUACCACUUACAUAACCUGGACUUGAGUGCAUAUAUGUUUUUAGACAUAAUAGCAUCAUCGAAUGUUAUCAGCAACCGCCAAGCAUUGUUGUUAUUAUUUUUAGAUAGCCAGGUGAUGGAUUUGAUUUUAAUUUCAGGGGGAUACAAGAAGAGAAUCUGUGCGCUGGGCCAGAAUAGCAAAAGUCCAGGAUCCACAUCUUACAGAACUACCAUUGUUCUCAAUAGUCUUUCUUCCAGGGAAUCCAACUAUCAGUGUCAAUUUCAUUAGAGGCAACAUGAAGCAUAAUCAAUUGCAUCAUGCUUUUGUUCCCAAAAAGAGAACUUUCUAUACUUGGGUGAAAGCUAUUCAAGGGUUUGUUGUAUCAAUAAUAAAAAAUCAGUUCUACUGGGAAAAAAAGUCAUUUGCAAAUUCCCUUUUGAAAAGCACUAUCAGUAAAAAAAUAAAACAAAAAAUGUAGGGCCAUUCUUUCUCAUCCAAAAAUACUUUACCUCUGCAACCAAUAACUUCCUUUGUAAUCCAUAACCGUGGUCACAGUAUGAAGCACUUUUUACAGCCAAUUUCUAUUCUAGGAACAAUCUUGCCUUGAGUCUCUGCCAUGUCUCUCCAAAACCAUCAUCUUCAUCAAUAUACAAAUCGAAAGACUUUUCCAAACUGUAUGGCCCAUGCCUCUAGGCUCCCAGCCACUGAUUCUUUCCAAAUGUCUCUGUUGAAUUUUGCUUCCAAAACGUUCCUUCUACAAAACAGUAUUUCAAAACAGCUCAAAAAAAACUUUUAAAAACUCUCUGUCCACACAUUUUCCCCCUUUGAACUAAAUCAUAAUCAGCAAUGUCCAAAGAUCUAGCAUCAGUUUGUAGAAGGGGGGGGGGGGGCACAAAGCCACAAAAGCAAGUCUCGAGUUCUCCCCCUUUUGUCCUGAAGAAUUAUUACAGGCAAAGUUUUCACCUGACAGUAACAAUUCCAACAUUGUAUUCUCAUUUUGUUAAAAUCUUAUAAACACUUAAAAUAUAUUAAACAGAUAGUCCACAUAUAUCUGGAAGUAUAGGCAAUUUUUAAAAUGCAAUUGUCCAAAACCAUUUUUUCCUCUUCUGAGAACAAAGAGUUCAGCUAUCUGGGCAAAUGUCCAGACCUCUUUCAUUUUCACGCAUUCACACGUUUCUAUCACUUUCCCAAGCACUUCCAUAUCUGAAUCAAGUCAAGAAAACAUGUGACAUGCAAGCCAAAAGCCACAGUCUGAAGAUACAGCCGGAAAACAGCGAGUAUUCAGAAAACAGCACUAAUGACAGAUUUCAGAGCAUUCAAAACCUUUUAGAACACCUAUUUGGAGCCAGAUCACCCCAUUGGCCUUUUUUCAUUAAAGUCACAUUUUCAACUUGUACAGUGUCCGUAACUUCUAUUGCUAACCUUUAGUUGCUUGGCUAUUCUCUAUUCCAGGUGUUCAGCCAAGGGUCCCUUUGAAAAAUACAGUUUUUGUUUAACUAAAAUGACAGGGAAGAAAUAUUCUAACACAGACUUGAAUCAGACUUGAAUCGCUAUAAAAUGCUCUUGCUUAGCUCUCUUUUUUCUCCUUCUUCUCUGCUACCUCCCUUUCCUGGUAAACUUGAGUGGCAAUUUCUGUGAAUUACUUCAAUUCAUUCCUGCUAAUUGAGACUGUCCUUGCAACUUCUUGUGGAUAUCAGCACUAGCCUCUGUGACUCUUUUGGGAUUCGGGGUCAUGAUCACGUGAAUCUCUAGGGGGAAAAAAGGAUCCUUUCCUUUUAUCCUUGAACAGCUCCUUUAAGGUUAAGUUGUUUAGAAAGGAGUUGGUUGCUAUAGUAAUGGCAGGAAAGGAAAGGCAACCUUGGUCCUUAUCUUUAAGCAACUCUCCCCCUUAGCUCUGAUUUCUUUCUCCUUGAGCACAAGUUUUAACUUCUGGAAAACUUGCCGCAUUUAGAAAACAAGCAAAGUCAAAUCCUCUCUCUCUGGAUGCAGUUUUAACACAUUUCAAAAGCUCUCUGUAAACACAAAACAAUUCCACCAUAAUAUCAUUUCUUUGCAAUUUCCCUAUAAAGGGACCCGUCCUUACAAUUCCCUCCCCCACAUAAAUCAUAUGUGGCAACAGAGCCUUCAUGCAUUUUCUGGGCAAAAUGAUGUGGGGUCCCUGACACCACAUUCCUAUUCAAGUUUUCUUUUAUCUCUUCUCGGGAAGUGAUUUUUUUAGAGCAUCUCUGUUCACUCUCCCACACAACUCCAGCCCAAAGGAAUUUUCCUGCAGACUUUUCCUGCUGGCUAUACUGUGUGUGUUUUAAAUCAUUUCAGCAGUACUCAUGCAUCCUUUUUCAACCCAGGGUUUCUCUCUUGGAGCCUUUGCAGCAAUCCAACCGGCUGGCCUAUUGAAGGCAAGUUGGGGGGAAAAAAAAGCCAGGUGGCUGUUUCUUUUAUUUAUUUUGGGCUCUGCUCACAUGCAAGCAGCCCCCCCUCCCUCUCGUCAACCAGAGAAGGGCAAUGAAGCCGUAGGUCACAACUACCUCUUUCUGCCAGUGCCUUCCAUGUCACCCUCAGAAAACCAUCCUCUGCUACCAGAAAUGAAGGGGCAAAGAUCUAAAAAUACUCCUUUUAAUCCACAGUCAAAAGCAGGAGGCCCUUUUCAGUGGAGAGAGAGAGGAAGGACACCACGAAAGUUGGAUCUUCAAACUUCAAAAAGCUAUUUAUUGCGAGCAUAGCAAUAACAACAAAUAAUGCAUAUAGCAAUGUAAUCAAAGGAUUUGUUGUAACCUGGAAAAUGGUUGCAAGGUUUUUAUCACUUUUACAGAAAGUAGAAAACAUAUUCUUAUUGGCUUACAAAGAUAAUUUACCCCAUUCGUCUAAUAUUGGCUACGUCACAAGCAUCUUAACCAUCAUACAAUUCCAUUGGUUUUCUUUGUUGUAACAACAUGUGAUUCUUUAGACAAUGGUGCUUUCAUGUUAUUGACCCUGAUCUCAGCACUUGCUUAUCUACUUCUUGUUGCAAGCAUUAGGUUCUAAACUGCUGGGAACCUUAGGGAGUGUUGGCUAACCAGUCCAGUCCUGAUGUAUUUGUAUUCUUGAAAAGUAACUUCCUUUUCUGCAACAACAUUUUCCCCCAAACGUCAGCAUUUUCUCUCAGACACAGGCCUCACAAAAGCCUUUUGCAAAUUAGGUUAAUCAAAACAUAUGUCAUUAGAAGUAUCUCUGAAAAUUCUCUUUUUAAACCCACGUCCCCCUCAUCUGUAUUACCUUUGUUAAAAUGUAUUUUUUUCCAGGAAAUAUACUUAUUGUCUUUUUGUUUAGAUUGGAAAGGAUAACAUUGGGAAAUUGACAAAGACAACGUCUACAGCAUUUUUGUUUCCUACGUCAAGCUCUAUAAUAACUACCUUUAUGACCUCUUGGACGAAACUCCCCUUGACCACACCAAGCCAAAGAUUCCACAAUCCAGAAUUCUCCAGGAAGGUCAGAACCACAACAUGUACAUGGCAGGAUGCAUGGAUGUGGAAGUCAAGUCUACCAAAGAAGCCUUUGAAGUCUUCUGGAGAGACCAAAAGAAGAGGCACAUUGCGAACAUGCAGCUGAAUCGAGGGUCAAGCCGUUCACACAGUGUAUUCCGGAUCAAACUGACCCAGGCUCCUGUAUUGAAGUCCUGCGUGAAAACCAAAGACUCAAACUUGACACAUCUUUUCAAAAACUACUUCGACGGGGAAGGGAAAGUUCACACGAUUGUGUCAACCCAAAGGCUGAAGACUAUGAGAGCCUACAAGUCAUGUGAUUUGCAGAGGUCACUCAGGAAGUGGAGGUGGCCCGACAUGCCAACAAGCCUCUCUGUGAGCUGAUGGCUGGCCGUCGCUUUAAGAACCAGGCCUUUUGGGAAGAGCUCUCCCAGGAGCUGGAGCUGAGGAGGACCCGUUGACAGAAAUAGAGAAAGGUCUGCCAUGGAGAUGCUCCUGCAGAGUUUUCCCCUGUUGCCAUCCUGCGAACUUCUGGACAUCAACGAUGACCAGACUCUUCCUCGGCUAAUUGAAAUGCUGGAAAGGCGCCAUCUCGCCCGGCAGGCAAUGAAGGAAGAAUUUGCUAAAAAUGUUCUUUCUGUAAAGGGUAUGUUACAAGUAGUCAUUCAAUCCCAUAUAAUCACCAUAUCUGUACAUAUUAACAAUAAUCCAGCCAACAAAACUGGAACCUUUUGAGAUUAAUAUGCUAAAAAAUGACCACAAAUCCCAAUAGGUAGAAAUUUAUCCUCAAAAUUCCUCUUAAACAAGUUACAGUGGACCAUAAAUGGCUCAUACAGUAUGUAAAAGACUCCCAAACCACUCUACUAAGUUCUACCGGAUAGAAUAUAAAGGAAGGAAUUGAAUCAGAAAAGUAACUUCAGCGUCACUAAGUAAGUCUGGUGUAGUUCAGUUGCAUUUAUCUAGCGUUUUCUUCUAGUUGUGCUCUAAUUGUCUACCAAUUUGCUUAAUCACUCUGUAGAUGAUUAAGCAAAUUGGAGAGUAUACCACUGAACUGCUUGAGGUCUGCAAGGCAGAAGAUGGCAUUCAGAGAGGGAUCAUGUGAAUUAAAUUAGUUGCUUAUGCAUCAUUUAGAUUUAUCAGUAAUUCAACAGAAACAUGUUAUUUUUACAAACAUUAUAUUACUUUUUCCUUUUAUAUUUGAAAGUUUUUUUAAAAAUAAAUAAACAUUCAUUUUGGUUAAAAGAA